UACGUAGGGUGCGAGCGUUGUCCGGAAUUACUGGGCGUAAAGAGCUCGUAGGCGGUUUGUCGCGUCGUCCGUGAAAAACUUGGGGCUCAACCCCAAGCUUGCGGGCGAUACGGGCAGACUUGAGUACUGCAGGGGAGACUGGAAUUCCUGGUGUAGCGGUGAAAUGCGCAGAUAUCAGGAGGAACACCGGUGGCGAAGGCGGGUCUCUGGGCAGUAACUGACGCUGAGGAGCGAAAGCGUGGGUAGCAAACAGG
rnacentral:rRNA from 1 species